GGCUGGUCCCAGUGCAGUGGUGUUUACAACUAAUUGAUCACAACCAGUUACAGGUUCCUUUGUUCCUUCUCCACUCCCACUGCUUCACUUGACCAGCCCCCC
rnacentral:Y_RNA from 1 species